rnacentral:tRNA from 1 species
GUUUAAAUAGUUUAAAUAAAACGUUGGUUUGUGGUACCAGAGAUAUAAUGUUAUUUUACUUUAAACC